rnacentral:rRNA from 1 species
AUUGAACGCUGGCGGAAUGCUUUACACAUGCAAGUCGAACGGUAGAGGGGGCAACCCCUCGAGAGUGGCGAACGGGUGAGUAAUAUAUCGGAACGUGCCCAGUCGUGGGGGAUAACGUAGCGAAAGUUACGCUAAUACCGCAUACGAUCUAAGGAUGAAAGCGGGGGAUCGCAAGACCUCGCGCGAUUGGAGCGGCCGAUAUCAGAUUAGGUAGUUGGUGGGGUAAAGGCUCACCGAGCCAACGAUCUGUAGCUGGUCUGAGAGGACGACCAGCCACACUGGAACUGAGACACGGUCCAGACUCCUACGGGAGGCAGCAGUGGGGAAUUUUGGACAAUGGACGCAAGUCUGAUCCAGCCAUUCCGCGUGCAGGAUGAAGGCCCUCGGGUUGUAAACUGCUUUUGUAUGGAACGAAAAGGUCUCUCUUAAUACGGGGGGCUCAUGACGGUACCGUAAGAAUAAGCACCGGCUAACUACGUGCCAGCAGCCGCGGUAA